rnacentral:lncRNA from 1 species
AGGAUGGAGGGGAGGAUAAUCCGGGGCUGGGGCAGACCUCGCUACCGCGAUCCGAAUCUGAACUCGCAGUGUGAACCGCCCAUGGCGACCCCUAGCGCUCGGGACUGUCCCCGGGGGUGGGGUCCCCUCGCGGAGCCCGGCCCCUACGUCCUUCCCGGUUAAACACACUGCGGGGAGCCCAGCGGCAGCCUCCCAUCCCAACUGGGUCCAGGACAGCACCCGCGCGCGAGCCCGCCGAACUCCGAGAGGCGAAGGCAGUGGGAAGAAAACGCCAGCGAAAGGGGAGCCACUUACCGAGCAGAACCCGAGAGCGCGGCGGCCCGGGUGUAAGCCGCCCUUUGUCUGCUGCCGCGGCGCUGGCGCGCUCAGCCAGGCCGGUCGCAGCCCCAGCUCGCGGCUAGCUCUCGCCGGCGCCCCGACAGCCCGGCUCGCGACUCCCGCUUGGGCUCGGGCUCCAGCUCUGGCCCCAGCCCCGGCCCCCGCCCGCGCCGCCGCCGCCGCUGCGGCUCCGCCCCGAGCCGGGCCCCGCCCCCGCCCGCCGGGCCCCCACCUGCUGCGGCGGCGGCGCUGGGGAGCCGGGCGCUGGGCUCCUGGGGGUGGCCGCCUCCCGCGCGUCCCGCUCUGCCCUCUCGCAGCCUCCAGGCCGUUUGGCCGGGCGGUCCCGGGGCCUUCCCCAACCUGGCCCCGCGGAGACCAGCUCACCUGGGGAGCCAAGCCCCGUCCUGGGGCAGCCUGGCCUUCCCGGGCACACGCGGGCGAGCCCCAGUCACUCCAAGCCCGUCCUCACGCCUCCUGCGGGACCGGAAUAAAACUAACAAAAGGGAACCAACACUUUGGGAGCCAGAGGAAAGGGACAAGAGAAGCCACCGACCCUAACACUGGUAAUAACCGGUGCUUCCGUGAUGCCUUCAACGAGCCCAAAGCGGUGGACACCGAUGAGGGGCGUCACUGA